GGUUCCGUAGUGUAGCGGUUAUCACGUCUGCCUGUCACGCAGAAGAUCGCGGGUUCAAUUCCCGUCGGAACCGCCA
rnacentral:tRNA from 3 species